rnacentral:lncRNA from 1 species
AUUCCAUUUGAUUUCAUUCGAUGAUGAUUCCAUUUGAUUGCAUUCGAUGAUUCCAUUCUAUUCCAUUCGAUGAUGAUUCCAUUGGAGUCCAUUUGAUGAUUCUAUCCGAUUGCAUUCGAUGAUUCCAUUCUAUUCCAUUCGAUGAUGAUUCCAUUCGAGUCCAUUUAAUGAUUCCAUUGGGUUCAAUUCAAUGAUGAUUACAUUGGAUUCCAUUCAAUGAUCCUUGUGAUUCCAUUCGGUGAUUAUUCCAUUUGAUUCCUGUCAAUGACGAUUCCAUUUGAUUCCAUUCUUUGAUGAUUCCAUUUGAUUCCAUUCGAUGAUGAUUCGAUUUGAUUCCAUUCGAUGAUGAUUCCAUUCGAUUCCAUUCGAUGAUGAUUCCAUUCGAUUUCAUUUGAUGAUUCUCUUCGAUUCCAUUCAAUGUUGAUUCAAUUCUAUUCCAUUCGAGGAUUCCAUUCAAUUCCAUCUGAUGAUGAUUCCAAUCGAUUCCAUUCGAUGAUGAUUCCCUUUGAUUGCAUUCGAUGAUUAUUCCAUUCGAGUGCAUUCGAAGACAACAUUCGAUUCCAUUCUAUCAUAAUUCCACUCGAGUCCAUUCGAAG